UGGCAGAAAACAUCAUUUUGUGCACCUAUAAUUUUGGAUGCUUGGCCUGUUUGGUUGGGUUUGGAACUCUAUUAUUUUGCUGAAUGACUCUAUCUGUAAUUUGUAGUGUGAAUUACUGGUUCUUACAACCUGAGCUGUAAUUAUGCACAUGUCAUGCUAAUGCCAGAUAAUAGAUCAAAUUAUGGUCUAUUUCUGUCUUUAGAGGGCUUCAAGCAAAAGUUUAGGAGUCUUUUGACAUAUUCUGU
rnacentral:misc_RNA from 1 species